UACGUAGGGUGCGAGCGUUAAUCAGAAUUACUGGGCGUAAAGCGUGCGCAGGCGGUGAUGUAAGACAGAUGUGAAAUCCCCGGGCUCAACCUGGGAACUGCAUUUGUGACUGCAUCGCUGGAGUGCGGCAGAGGGGGAUGGAAUUCCGCGUGUAGCAGUGAAAUGCGUAGAUAUGCGGAGGAACACCGAUGGCGAAGGCAAUCCCCUGGGCCUGCACUGACGCUCAUGCACGAAAGCGUGGGGAGCAAACAGG
rnacentral:rRNA from 1 species